CCUACGGGGUGCAGCAGUGGGGAAUAUUGGGCAAUGGAGGCAACUCUGACCCAGCAAUGCCGCGUGAAUGAAGAAGGUCUUCGGAUUGUAAAGCUCUUUAAUCAGGGACGAAAAGAAUGAUGGUACCUGAGUAAUAAGCCACGGCAAACUACGUGCCAGAAGCCGCGGUAAGACAUAGGUGGCAAGCGUUGUCCGGACUGACUGGGCGUAAAGGGAGCGUAGGCGGUCUGUUAAGUUGGAAGUGAAAGCCCGGGGCUCAACCCCGGAACUGCUUUCAAGACUGACGGACUGGAGUGUAAGAGGGGUAAGCGGAAGUCCUAGUGUAGCGGUGGAAUGCGUAGAUAUUAGGAGGAACACCAGUGGCGAAGGCGGCUUACUGGAUUAUAACUGACGCUGAGGCUCGAAAGCGUGGGUAGCAAACAGGAUUAGAUACCCUGGUAGUC
rnacentral:rRNA from 1 species